rnacentral:misc_RNA from 1 species
AAAAAAAAAUUAAUGAUUAUCAAAUAUUAUAAUUCAAAGUGCCAAAUUACCAAGUCUUAACAUCUUAUGAAUAAAAUAUAAUCCAUAUUAGCACUCAGAUAAGAUCGCUUUUACUUGUGCCUCCCCUAAGCUCGUCAUAAUUGGCAUAAUGUGGAAGUUUAUAUAAUUGAUAAACCCAAAAAGGGCCAUACUUGACACUUGUACCAAACUUUUGGAUUCUUUUCAUUAACCCUUUCUAUAAUGGGUAAGUGGUGAAAAAGAAGCAAACCUCAGUGAAUUUGGAUGGCAAAA